AACGAACGCUGGCGGCAUGCCUAACACAUGCAAGUCGAACGAGACCUUCGGGUCUAGUGGCGCACGGGUGCGUAACGCGUGGGAACCUGCCCUUAGGUUCGGAAUAACUCCCCGAAAGGGGUGCUAAUACCGGAUAAUGUCUUCGGACCAAAGAUUUAUCGCCUUUGGAUGGUCCCGCGUUGGAUUAGCUAGUUGGUAGGGUAAAAGCCUACCAAGGCGACGAUCCAUAGCUGGUCUGAGAGGAUGAUCAGCCACACUGGGACUGAGACACGGCCCAGACUCCUACGGGAGGCAGCAGUGGGGAAUAUUGGACAAUGGGCGAAAGCCUGAUCCAGCAAUGCCGCGUGAGUGAUGAAGGACUUAGGGUUGUAAAGCUCUUUUACCCGGGAUGAUAAUGACAGUACCGGGAGAAUAAGCUCCGGCUAACUCCGU
rnacentral:rRNA from 1 species